GAUGAACGCUGGCGGCGUGCCUAAUACAUGCAAGUCGAGCGAAUGGAUUAAGAGCUUGCUCUUAUGAAGUUAGCGGCGGACGGGUGAGUAACACGUGGGUGACCUGCCCAUAAGACUGGGAUAACUCCGGAAAACCGGGGCUAAUACCGGAUAACAUUUUGAACCGCAUGGUUCGAAAUUGAAAGGCGGCUUCGGCUGUCACUUAUGGAUGGACCCGCGCCGCAUUAGCUAGUUGGUGAGGUAACGGCUCACCAAGGCAACGAUGCGUAGCCGACCUGAGAGGGUGAUCGGCCACACUGGGACUGAGACACGGCCCAGACUCCUACGGGAGGCAGCAGUAGGGAAUCUUCCGCAAUGGACGAAAGUCUGACGGAGCAACGCCGCGUGAGUGAUGAAGGCUUUCGGGUCGUAAAACUUUGUUGUUAGGGAAGAACAAGUGCUAGUUGAAUAAGCUGGCACCUUGACGGUACCUAACCAGAAAGCCACGGCUAACUACGUGCCAGCCGCCGCAGUAA
rnacentral:rRNA from 1 species